AAUAGACUCUAUAUAGUAGUAAAUAUAUAUUAAAACACUUUUAGACCAUGGCUAAAAGUGGAUAAAAUCCAUGGUCUAUCACAACCACACACAAACAACUCUUUUCAAACAUUUUAUUGGAUCGGCGAGCUAUUUUUCUUAUGAGAUUCACCACCAGAUAUUGUUUAAAAUAUUAAAAAUUAUCUAUCAUUAUUCAAAAAUACACUUAAUCAAAAUACCUUAACAUUUUAGAUUUAUUGUUUACUAAUUAUUUUUCAAGCUUUAGUAUUUAGAGGGUAGAGUUGAGUUUAAAUACUUCUAUAAAUGUUUUAUAAAUUUUUUAAAACGUUUAAAAAUUAUUUAGAAGAAUUAAUUUAAUAUUUGUAAUCACAAAUUUAAAUUAUUUUUGAAAAUAGUUGUCCUUUAAAACAUAAAUUUGAAAAUAAUAUCAAAUAUUUGAUAAAAUUGAAAUACAAACAAAAAUCAUCAAACAAUUGAAAUUAGAUUUAUUCGAUCUGCUCAAUAGCAUCCAUCGAAAUGCACAGGCAGCCCAACCACUAAAGUCUUUACUCAUUUCGUAAGGAACGAACAUUUAACUAAUUUUCAAAUGAAGUAACAAACUUUGUUUCUAAGGAAAUAUUUUCUUUUCUUUAACACACUUGUAAUCCAAUUUACAUAACUAUCUAGAGAAAAUGCCUUAGAUAACAUCAAAUUAAGUUUUUGUCCCCAAACUAGCACUCAAAAUCUAAAAUCACAAAAAUAAGUUUCAUUAAAAGGGAUCAUUUACCCUUACGCCCUCUCCUUUGAUUAAUUAAAAAAAAAAAUCGAAAAUCUAAUCGUCGGAAACAAUCCCGUCGUGUUCAUCUUCCUCGUCCUUCACCUACGAUGGAUUACCAUUGCUCCACCCUGUUUCUUUCCGUCGUCAUCAGAUAUACCGUCUUCAGGUCAGCACAUCCGUCGUCAUCAGAUUCGUUGUGGCUGUCAUCAGGUUCGUCGUUGUUGUCCCCGAGCUAUGGAUGCUGGUGUUAAGUUACAUGACGCAGACUUUAGAUUGCAGAUAUCAGCUUUGUGGUGAUGUAUCUAGAAGCCGUGCCUCCGAUCGGAUAAAUAAAAGAGGAGAAUCAGUGGAAGAUAAGAUUAAAAAGCUUGAUGUUGAGCUCUGCAAAUACAGAGAGCAGAUUCAAAAGACACGAUCUGGUCCUGUUCAACAAGCUCUCAAAGCUCGUGCUAUGAGGCUUCUCAAGCAGAAGAAAAUGUAUGAAGGACAACGCGACAUGCUUUAUAAUCAGACAUUCAAUCUCGAUCAAGUCUCUUUCACUGCUGAAGGUCUCAAAGAUGCUCAACAAACUGUAAUGCAUAUCUCUCUUUGUUUCUAAGCUAUUGUCCACGCCUGUGGACGUGGCUAGGUUAUAUAUGCGAGCUCGUCUGCCAUGGGGAUCUCCGUCUGUGAACAAUUCAAAGUUUUGGUCACCAUCAUCAGCAGGGACGCAACUUCUUAAGGAAGGAACACCAUUUUCUUAUAAUGCUGGAAACUUAUCCUCUUCCAAGGUACAUCAGAAAGGUUUCUAAUAUAUUAUGCAUUGCAGUGCAAACUUUUUUGUGAUGUUAAUUCCAGUUUUCCAAUAGAAAGUUUGCAUACCAGCAUGUAUUUCUAAUGGCUCUCUCAGAGUUAUGGCUCUCUCAGAUUUUAGCAUGCGUCUUUAUUCACUAUUGUAUUUGGCCAAGCAGGACUUUGAGUAGGAACAAACUUAACGGGACUAUCCCUGUGUCACUUACUGGUCUUCCAAACCUAAUAAAUCUGUAAGUUACUGCUCUCUCUGUCUGUGAUCCCCUUCUUUUUUUGGAAGCUCCUCUUUCUUAAUCAAUUUGAAACUAUGUUUUUACAGUCUUCUUGAUUCCAAUAAUCUCAAUGGCCAGAUUCCUCAAACUCUAUUUCAGAUCCCAAAAUACAAUUUCACAGGAAACAACUUGAAUUGUGGUGUUGGUCAACCUCACCCUUGUGUACUGAGGUUGUCCGUUCAGGUGAUUCAAGCAAGCCAAAAACUGGUAUUAUUGCAGGAGUUGUUGCCGGAGUUACUGUCCUCCUCUUUGGAAUCUUAGUGUUCUUGUUCUGCAGGGAUAGACAUAAAGGAUACAAACGUGAUGUGUUCGUGGAUGUUGCAGGUUGGUUCGUGGAUGUUGCAGCUGUACCACCUCAAAUCAGUUUGGUCUGUUUUGUGUUGUGGUUUGUUUGAACUUUAGAUAGUGGUGCUGCUCAGAACAUCAACAUCAGAACCAGAAUGAAUUUAAAAAGUUUUACAAAGUUUAAUCUAUAUUUGCUGUCAAGAUUUGCUUACUGAUCAUCAUCACUCAGAAAGAGAAAAAGGAUCAACGAUCGUUUUCAAGCACUAAAAGAAAGAGACAUGGACAAGUCACCCACCUCAAUCGUUUGAUUUGGUAGUGGCUUUAACUAAAAAUCAACGUGAUCUCUAUGCAUAUUUAAACUAUAUCUCAAUAAUGUUCUCAUUAUAUGGCGGCAAUAUUUAAUCCUUUGUGUGAUGAGUGCUUUUGUUGGUUAAUAAAGAAAAUAGCAUUAGAUGUGACAAGUUUUAUCCUAAGUCUUUGUUAUAUACUUUUAAUUCACUAACCUGUAAAGUACUAUUGGAAAGUAAUUGAGAUUAUCUUCUUUUUCAUGUAUGUGAUUCAUCUUUUUGGUCAUGUAGACACUAUCUCUUGAUAGAAUUAUUGAAAAUGUUUCAAGCUAUCUCAUUUUAAUGUUCUCGGUUUGAUAUAUGUUCUCUAUUUUGUAGACAACUAACUAUAUUUGAUGAUUUCUAUAGCCAAUGAAUUUUCUUAUAGAUUUUGAUUAUGUUUUUUUUUUGGAAGAUUAAGUUCCAAUUUAGUAUAGCCAUCCUGAACAAGGAUUGUCUAAUAUUCCUUACACGCUUUUGAUUCUCUUCGACAACAGAUUUAUGCAAGAAAACACACUCAUUUUAUUUUUCUUGAAACCCACCCUGAAAGUGCCAAAAGAUAUCCUAUAUAACAUAUGUGUUUUAUAAUUAUACCACAUUUAACAGUUUCUUGAUAGAAUUAUUGAAAAUGCUUUAAGCUAUCCUAUUUUAAUGUUCUUGGUUUGAUAUGUGUUCUCUAUUUUGUAGACAAUAAACUCUAUUUUGGUGAUUUCUAUAGCCAAUGAAUUUUCUUAUAGAUUUUGAUUAUGUUUUUUUGGAAGAUUAAGUUCAAAAUUAGGAUAGCCAUCCUGAACAAGGAUUGUCUAACAUUCCUUACACGCUUUUGAUUCUCUUCGAAAACAGAUUUAUGCAAGAAAACACACUCAAUUUAUUUUUCUUGAAACUCAUCCUGAAAGUGCCAAAAGAUAUCCUAUAUAACAUAUGUGUUUUAUAAUUAUACCACAUUUAACACUUUCUUAAUAGAAUUAUUGAAAAUGCUUCAAGCUAUCAUAUUUUAAUGUUCUCUGUUUGAUAUGUGUUCUCUAUUUUGUGGACAACUAACUCUAUUUUGGUGAUUUCUAUAGCAAAUGAAUUUUCGUAUAGAUUUUCAUUAUGUUUUUUUUUUUUUGGAAGAUUAAGUUCCAAAUUAGGAUAGCCAUAUUGAACAAGGAUUGUCUAACAUUCCUUACACGCUUUUGAUUCUCUUCGAAAACAGACUUAUGAAAGAAAACACAUUCAUUUUAUUUUUCUUGAAACCCAUCCUGAAAGUGCCAAAAGAUAUCCUAUAUAACAUAUGUGUUUUAUAAUUAUACCACAUUUAACAGUUUCUUGAUAGAAUUAUUGAAAAUGCUUCAAGCUAUCCUAUUUUAAUGUUCUUGGUUUGAUAUGUGUUCUCUAUUUUGUAGACAAUAAACUCUAUUUUGGUGAUUUCUAUAGCCAAUGAAUUUUCUUAUAGAUUUUGAUUAUGUUUUUUUUGGAAGAUUAAGUUCAAAAUUAGGAUAGCCAUCCUGAACAAGGAUUGUCUAACAUUCCUUACACGCUUUUGAUUCUCUUCGAAAACAGAUUUAUGCAAGAAAACACACUCAAUUUAUUUUUCUUGAAACUCAUCCUGAAAGUGCCAAAAGAUAUCCUAUAUAACAUAUGUGUUUUAUAAUUAUACCACAUUUAACACUUUCUUAAUAGAAUUAUUGAAAAUGCUUCAAGCUAUCAUAUUUUAAUGUUCUCUGUUUGAUAUGUGUUCUCUAUUUUGUGGACAACUAACUCUAUUUUGGUGAUUUCUAUAGCAAAUGAAUUUUCUUAUAGAUUUUCAUUAUGUUUUUUUUUUUUGGAAGAUUAAGUUCCAAAUUAGGAUAGCCAUAUUGAACAAGGAUUGUCUAACAUUCCUUACACGCUUUUGAUUCUCUUCGAAAACAGACUUACGAAAGAAAACACAUUCAUUUUAUUUUUCUUGAAACCCAUCCUGAAAGUGCCAAAAGAUAUCCUAUAUAACAUAUGUGUUUUAUAAUUAUACCACAUUUAACACUUUCUUGAUAGAAUUAUUGAAAAUGCUUCAAGCUAUCCUAUUUUAAUGUUCUUGGUUUGAUAAGUGUUCUCUAUUUUGUAGACAAUAAACUCUAUUUUGGUGAUUUCUAUAGCCAAUGAAUUUUCUUAUAGAUUUUAAUUAUGUUUUUUUGGAAGAUUAAGUUCAAAAUUAGGAUAGCCAUCCUGAACAAGGAUUGUCUAACAUUCCUUACACGCUUUUGAUUCUCUUCGAAAACAGAUUUAUGCAAGAAAACACACUCAAUUUAUUUUUCUUGAAACUCAUCCUGAAAGUGCCAAAAGAUAUCCUAUAUAACAUAUGUGUUUUAUAAUUAUACCACAUUUAACACUUUCUUAAUAGAAUUAUUGAAAAUGCUUCAAGCUAUCAUAUUUUAAUGUUCUCUGUUUGAUAUGUGUUCUCUAUUUUGUAGACAACUAACUCUAUUUUGGUGAUUUCUAUAGCAAAUGAAUUUUCUUAUAGAUUUUGAUUAUGUUUUUUUUUUUUUUUGGAAGAUUAAGUUCCAAAUUAGGAUAGCCAUAUUGAACAAGGAUUGUCUAACAUUCCUUACACGCUUUUGA